rnacentral:lncRNA from 1 species
GCGCUCCUGUCACGAUGUGGUGAGAUGCAAGGGAGGGGUAGGAUGCCGGUGACAGCAGAAGGAGCAGGCCGGUGUAGAGGGCAAGCAGCACAGGAAGGUAUGUAUUUCUUCACACUAUCUUCAUUAUUUUGCAACUUGUAUUCAUUUUCGCUGAUAAUCCUUUUGCACUUUUGUUUUAUCUAAUCCAUUGCAAGCUUAUAAAUGGUGAUGUUUGGUCUUCUACUAUUUUGGCUGGUGAUAGAUUAAGAAGGAUAUGACGCUUUGUAUAGUUUCAUGGAUGGGGUUUGGGUGUCCUGAUGAGAGCAGUUCAGUGGAUGCACCUCUGCAACCUCGCCAACAUGGACAAUCACUGGUAACAUCUUUUACCCUAUCCAGUUAUUACCUCCAUUUUAUGCAGUUUCUUUCAAACUGAAUGAAGUCUCGAGGUGGACGCGCGAGCUCUUAUUUUGUUGUUCUUGCUGUUGUGUAUAUGUCUUCAUGCAUCUAAGCCAUUAAAAAUUGCAAAUCUAAAUGGGUUGGGGAGAUAUGGCUAUGGUGUUUAUUCCUUCACAUUGGUUUAGGUAUUUCUGAAUUGGUUCACUCUGAAAAAAGGUCUGUCACGGUUUGAUUUUUGCAUCUGCAGAAAGUGCGGUCUUUUUCUAGCGUGGAGCAUCCACACCUUCUUCUCCCCAGUGCUCACUACUUUGUUGGCACAUGUUUCGUAGAAUAGAACACCUUUUUAAUGUCGUAUUUCAUGCUAUACAGUGUGAUGGAUCAUUAGAUGGCUAGCCUUUCGCGGCACUCAUUGACGAAUUUUCACUUUAGGUGUUCUUGUGGCCCCUAGGUUUUUGAGUAUGUUCAUGUUGAGAAAUUAUAGUAAUAAGGAGGGACACAAUAAAUAUUUGUAAGCUAGGUUGCUUGCCUAAUCAAGCUCACAUGUGGAUCAUUUACUGUUCUGCGUUAUUGGAGUUUUGCUACAGUAUUCAUUCAGAAAAAUAUGAGUGGCAUGUUGCAAUAUGAUGCUCAGGACGAAACUGAUAUUUGAAAUUACAUGUUCUAUGACAAUGGUGUAAUACCAUAAUAUUUACAAAUUAUAAUUUGUUUUUAACUUUGCAACCGGAAUGUGUUGCCUUUAGUAAUAUGUACGUCCACUGUUUAUUUCCAGCAAGACAUGAUAAAUAUUGUUCUUUAGAUUACUUCAAUGAACUGAUAAAUAGCGGACCAGGCUAAGUUCAAGACCUUGAUUUAGAAGUAGAGUUUUUCAAUCAUAGACAUGUUUCUUCCUAAAAAGGAAUUCAAGCGCAGCUACUGUUGACUCUAAAAAGGGAUUUAAAAUGUUUUCAUUUCUGGAAAAUGUUUUCAUUUAUGAAUUUUGAUCUCAAGUUAUCAACCUUAAUCGAAUUCUUUGAAUUUAGGCUAAACUUAAGCAUGAAUUGUAGGUCAUGAGUACAGGAUCAAGCCG